CCUAUCACCGCGGCUGCUGGCACUCUAAGGAGACUGCCGGUGACAAACCGGAGGAAGGUGGGGAUGACGUCAAGUCAUCAUGGCCCUUACGGCCAGGGCUACACACGUGCUACAAUAGUCGGUACAAAGGGUUGCCAAGCCGCGAGGUGGAGCUAAUCCCAUAAAACCGAUCGUAGUCCGGAUCGCAGUCUGCAACUCGACUGCGUGAAGUCGGAAUCGCUAGUAAUCGUGAAUCAGAAUGUCACGGUGAAUACGUUCCCGGGCCUUGUACACACCGCCCGUCACACCAUGGGAGUGGGUUGCUCCAGAAGUAGCUAGUCUAACCGCAAGGGGGACGGUUACCACGGAGUGAUUCAUGACUGGGGUGAAGUCGUAACAAGG
rnacentral:rRNA from 1 species